rnacentral:rRNA from 1 species
UACGUAGGUGGCAAGCGUUGUCCGGAAUUAUUGGGCGUAAAGGGUGCGUAGGUGGUGAGAAAAGUCUGAUGUGAAAUCUCCAGGCUCAACCCGGAAAUGGCAUUGGAAACUAACUUGCUCGAGGAUUGGAGGGGGGACUGGAAUACUUGGUGUAGCAGUGAAAUGCGUAGAUAUCAAGUGGAACACCAGUGGCGAAGGCGAGUCCCUAGACAAUUCCUGACACUGAGGCACGAAAGCUAGGGGAGCAAACAGG